rnacentral:rRNA from 1 species
AGAGUUCGAUUAUGGCUCAGAACGAACGCUGGCGGCAGGCCUAACACAUGCAAGUCGAGCGAGACCUUCGGGUCUAGCGGCGGACGGGUUAGUAACGCGUGGGAACGUACCCUUUUCUACGGAAUAGCCUUUGGAAACGAAGAGUAAUACCGUAUACGCCCUUUGGGGGAAAGAUUUAUCGGAGAAGGAUCGGCCCGCGUUAGAUUAGAUAGUUGGUGGGGUAAUGGCCUACCAAGUCUACGAUCUAUAGCUGGUUUUAGAGGAUGAUCAGCAACACUGGGACUGAGACACGGCCCAGACUCCUACGGGAGGCAGCAGUGGGGAAUCUUAGACAAUGGGCGCAAGCCUGAUCUAGCCAUGCCGCGUGAGUGAAGAAGGCCUUAGGGUCGUAAAGCUCUUUCGCCAGGGAUGAUAAUGACAGUACCUGGUAAAGAAACCCCGGCUAACUCCGUGCCAGCAGCCGCGGUAAUACGGAGGGGGUUAGCGUUGUUCGGAAUUACUGGGCGUAAAGCGCACGUAGGCGGAUUAGAAAGUUAGAGGUGAAAUCCCAGGGCUCAACCCUGGAACUGCCUUUAAAACUCCUAGUCUUGAGUUCGAGAGAGGUGAGUGGAAUUCCAAGUGUAGAGGUGAAAUUCGUAGAUAUUUGGAGGAACACCAGUGGCGAAGGCGGCUCACUGGCUCGAUACUGACGCUGAGGUGCGAAAGUGUGGGGAGCAAACAGGAUUAGAUACCCUGGUAGUCCACACCGUAAACGAUGAAUGCCAGUCGUCGGGUAGUAUACUAUUCGGUGACACACCUAACGGAUUAAGCAUUCCGCCUGGGGAGUACGGUCGCAAGAUUAAAACUCAAAUGAAUUGACGG